rnacentral:rRNA from 1 species
CCCGACUGCUAUUUGGGUGAGAAUAAGCCAUGCGAGUUGAAUGGGAUACCUAAAGUUCCCAUAGCAAACUGCUCAGUAACACAUGAUCAACUUACCCUAUAGAGAAAAAUAACCUCGGGAAACUGAGGAUAAUGUUUCAUAAUUGAAUUGGCUUGGAAAAGUUUUUCAAUGAAAAGGAUAAAAAAAAUGGUUUUUAUCUGCUAUAGGAUAGGAUCGUGUUCGAUUAUGGUUGUUGGUGAGAUAAUGGCUCACCAAGCCGAUAAUCGAUAGGGGCCGUGAGAGCGGGAGCCCCGAGAUGGGUACUGAGACAACGACCCAGGCCUUACGAGGCGCAGCAGGCGCGGAACCUCCGCAAUACACGAAAGUGUGACGGGGUUACCCAAAGUGUUCAAUUUGAACUGUGGUAGGUGAGUAAUGUCCCCUACUAGAAAGGAGAGGGCAAGGCUGGUGCCAGCCGCCGCGGUAAACCAGCUCUUCAAGUGGUCGGGAUAAUAUUGGGCUUAAAGUGUCCGUAGCCGGUUUAGUAGGUUCCUGGUAAAAUCGGGUAGCUUAACUAUCUGCAUGCUAGGAAUACUGCUAUACUAGAGGGCGGGAGAGGUCUGAGGUACUGCAGGGGUAGGGGUGAAAUCUUAUAAUCCUUGUAGGACCACCAGUGGCGAAGGCGUCAGACUGGAACGCGCCUGACGGUGAGGGACGAAAGCCAGGGGAGCGAACCGGAUUAGAUACCCGGGUAGUCCUGGCCGUAAACGAUGCAUACUAGGUGAUGGUACGGCCAUGAGCCGUAUCAGUGCCGUAGGGAAACCGUUAAGUGUGCCGCCUGGGAAGUACGGUCGCAAGGCUAAAACUUAAAGGAAUUGGCGGGGGAGCACCACAAGGGGUGAAGCCUGCGGUUCA